UACGUAGGGUGCAAGCGUUAAUCGGAAUACUGGGCGUAAAGCGUGCGCAGGCGGUUUUGUAAGUCUGUCGUGAAAGCCCCGGGCUCAACCUGGGAAUUGCGAUGGAGACUGCAAGGCUUGAAUCUGGCAGAGGGGGGUAGAAUUCCACGUGUAGCAGUGAAAUGCGUAGAGAUGUGGAGGAACACCGAUGGCGAAGGCAGCCCCCUGGGUCAAGAUUGACGCUCAUGCACGAAAGCGUGGGGAGCAAACAGG
rnacentral:rRNA from 1 species